AGGGUUCGUAGGUGACCUGCGGAGGWCAUUACCAAAAAAACACGUUCGGACGGGGGGCACUAGAGGUGGGAAGCCAAGGCGAUGCUAGCUGGACGUCGUGUGGCCUGUGGUUGCCGGGGGUUAAACGUUCACACCCCCCCUCGCGCAGCACACAUCAGUGGCCGAACCCAGGCAAAGCACCGGCCCCCAUCGGCUGCCCCCGGUCCCAAAACAAAAACCCUCUGCGUACCUUCCCCUCCUUGCUUCCCCCGGCACACGUCGGGGGGAGGAACACAACCCAAAACUCUUUGCGUGUAACCGCCGUCAGAAAUACAGAUACAAAAGAAAAGUUAAAACUUUCAACAACGGAUCUCUUGGUUCCCACAUCGAUGAAGAACGCAGCGAAAUGCGAUAAGUAAUGUGAAUUGCAGAAUUCAGUGAAUCAUCGAAUCUUUGAACGCACAUUGCGCCCUCUGGUACUCCGGGGGGCAUGCCUGUUCGAGCGUCAUAAAACCAUCUCCCCCAACGUGUUUAUUCAUUUAAGCCUACGCUGGGGGGUCUUGGCCUGCGGGAAAGCGACUGGCAAUCCGCUCCCGAGAGCCCAAAUUUAGGAGACCCGCCAUCUGAUGCGACAGCACCGAGGCCCUCAACCGUGGAGUCAUGGGACUUUUGGAUUUGCAGUAAUAUGCUCACCUUUCUUCACACGCCGUUGGCACACCAGUCGCAGUUGCGGGCGUAAUAUGGAGUCCCCCAAGGGGGGACCCUUGUGGAUUAGCACCCACCUCACAAACUUUGACCUCGGAUCAGGUAGGGAUACCCGCUGAACUUAAGCAUAUCAAUAAGSCGGAGGA
rnacentral:rRNA from 1 species